UUAGGUUUGUAUACAUGUUGGUUGUGGUGAGAGGUGAUUCGAGCCAUAGGUAUGGAGAAAAUCUUGUUGGGAGCAGCACCCAGGAAUAGGCUCUGGUGAGUGCGAUCCGGAUUUAGGGUGGAAAAAAUAAAGGUAUAUUGUAGAAUUAGUUGUGCUGUGUUGGUCCUGGGUGUGGAGAAAAUCAUGUUGGGAGUGACACUCCAGAAUGGGCUCUGGUGAGCGCGAUCCGAAUUUAGGGCUCCGG
rnacentral:misc_RNA from 1 species